GACGAACGCUGGCGGCGUGCUUAACACAUGCAAGUCGAACGGAAAGGCCCUGCUUUUGUGGGGUGCUCGAGUGGCGAACGGGUGAGUAACACGUGAGUAACCUGCCCUUGACUUUGGGAUAACUUCAGGAAACUGGGGCUAAUACCGGAUAGGAGCUCCUGCUGCAUGGUGGGGGUUGGAACGUUUCGGCGGUUGGGGAUGGACUCGCGGCUUAUCAGCUUGUUGGUGGGGUAGUGGCUUACCAAGGCUUAGACGGGUAGCCGGCCUGAGAGGGUGACCGGCCACAUUGGGACUGAGAGACGGCGCAGACUCCUACGGGAGGCAGCAGUGGGGAAUAUUGCACAAUGGGCGGAAGCCUGAGGCAGCAACGCCGCGUGCGGGAUGACGGCCUUCGGGUUGUAAACCGCUUUCGCCUGUGACGAAGCGUGAGUGACGGUAAUGGGUAAAGAAGCACCGGCUAACUACGUG
rnacentral:rRNA from 1 species